UUUUUUUUUUUUUUUUUUUUACUGUAGAAAAAUGUUUAUUUUUUGCCCUGUAAGCGUAAGGUAAUGGUUGAACUCCAUCCUUAGCAAACAGGACAAAUGGAAAGAGAGACUGAGAUGGAAGUAACACUUAUGCUUUGGGGUCUAAUAUAAGCAAUAUAGCAAGUGGCCCUUCAACCUGUGUGUGUGUGUGCGCGUGUGCAUGUUUGUGUGUGUGUGUCUGUAUGCAAAAUGCUCAGUGGACACUCAGAUGAUAUUUUUGAUUUUUACACUAAAUUUUGUAAACUUAAAGUAAUAUUCAUAUUUAAAUGUCAAACUACUGUAUAAAGUUAAUGUCUGGCCUAAUGAAAAGAUAAUAUUGAGAGUCUCUGAGAUAAAGCAAUUUCAAAAACCAGGUAGUCAAGUAUUAACACUUGGAAAUGGUUAAAAUGAUAGAAAGUGCUCUAAGUCCAUAGGAAUUGUGAAAUUAUUUGCCCAGUCUCUCACAAGAAAAAUAGGACUAUGGAGUAAGUCUUUAUUAUAAUCCAUGACGCAUAUAAUUGUGAAAAUUUUUUCAUUCAUCCAGAAGUAAAUUUAAUGCUAUGUGAAUCAUUGAUCUCAGUUUCUUCCUUUCUAGUUAGCUCUGGGAACCUACGGGUUUUUCUUUACAAUGAAAUGUAGUUCCUGAAACUGCUUUGGAAGCCAGGCAUGGUGGUUCAUGGCUGACAUGGGAGCCUGAAGCAGGAUGAUUUCCUAAAGUUUGAGGCCUGUCUAGUCUACACCCCAAGUUCAAGUCACCUGAGCUAGGAUGAGGCUUUCAAGGAAAAAGAACAGAAGUGAAGAAGGAGUUAAUAAGAUCUUAUUGCUGUGUGUGUGGCCUUUGCUUAAAGGAAGUGAAUGAUUUUUUUUAUGAGUAUUUGUUGAGAUUCACCUUGUAUAUUUGUUUUCUCUGCUUUUUUGUAACACAGCUUCCUAAUGUACAGCAUGUUAAAAGAAAGUGAUGGGUAUCUCAAAUGAAUUAUUCCUGGCUUGUAACUGAAAGAAGCAUUUUAGUAUUAGAAUAUCUGGUUAUGUAAAGUUGUCCUCUUUUCUGCUACUUUAUCAGGACUUGGAAUUGUAUGAUUGUCAAAAUACUGGCAUAAAUUAUACAUUUUUAAAGGUACAUGCUUGAAAUUUUAUGACUUGUUACUUUAUAUUUUAAAUCUAAAUACUAAAGAUAGGUGACCACUGUCACCUUAAACUGUAUUCCUUUUUUAAAAUUAGAAAUCAUUACUGUGACCAGGUGGAGGUGGUACGCCUUAAACCCCAGCACUUUGGGGUGCAUUGGCAGGUGGAUUUCUGUUGAGCUUGAGGCCAGCCUGAUUUAUGGACUAAGUUCCAGGAUGGCCAGCGCUACACAGAACGAUCUUCUCUUGAAAAAACAAAUAAAAUAAAAAAUACUGUGUUAUAUCAUGAAAUGGAAAUUUCAAAGUCUUUAUUUUUUUCAAUGAAACAUUCCGCUUUGCAAACUUGCUGACAACAGAGGUUUUGACUCACAAGGAGGCAGCAGGCCAUAGGAAGUGUAGAGCCUUACUUUACUGAUUUGCACUGCACAGGAAGCAAGCUUUCUCAAGGUAGAAGAAAUAUACCAGGAAAUAAAUUGAAGCCUUAUUCCAACGUGGUAGGACAUAAAAGUGAUUGGGUAAAUUUGGAAAAUACAUUUCAGUGCUAGUUAUAAACUGAAAAGGGCAAAGAUGUUAGUUUUAUAAACAUAAUGACAAAUGUCCUUUGAGGAUAUACACUUGGCUCAAGGCCAUUUAUUUCAGAUUAACCUCACCUUAUUCCCAUUUUAUAAUUAUUACUAGUUUUAAUAGCAUGCUUUGCAUGUGUGCUUGUGUCAGUUUAACUGUGUAGUACUUCUCAUCCCCACCAAUUAUAAUUGUUUAAUUAUAUUUCAUCCUUAAGAGAUAAAAGAUCUGUUAACCAUGGAGGUCCCAUCCUACCUACAAGCUUUCAUGUAGUUUUGUUCUUACAACAGUCUUGCAUAAUAAAUUUUACAAUAGGACUUUGCUAUUUUGUGGAUAGUACAUUAGUAUGUAGCAGUACUUCUGCCCAUUUGCAGUAGCAGUGCUUUUGAAAGUACGAUGCAAUUGUGUUAUUUGUACUCUUAAGGCACUAAGUUAAUUUGAGAAAGAAAAUAUUAGAAUCUUAAAAUAUGUUAUAAAUGAUUCUCCAUCUGCAUGAGAAGUAUCUAGGUUCCUUUUUUUUUUUUUUUUUUUUUUCCUUUGCUUUUUGAGACUGGGUCUUUCAGUGUAGCCUUGGAUGACCUAAAACUCACUAUAUAGACCUGGCUGGCUUAAAACUGAAGAUGCCCCUGCCUCUGCUUUCCAACACUCUUCUGCCUUUGCUUAUUAGUGAUUUUCAACUUUGAUUUGUUCCCUUUUGUCACCUGCACAUACGUGCAUUGGCUUCCUAGUUUCUGACACUAUGAAAUGCUUCCACGCGAGUGUUUGGAACUACAGCAGAUGGCAGAGCUCUUACCCGAUCCUCACAUAGCUAGAAAUGUAAGCUAUAAACACAGGACGUAAGGUUUUCUUCUUGAGACAGGGUCUAACUGUAGUGUCCCCUGGCCCGGAACUCGACCUGUACAGCAGGUUGCCUUCUGCCUCCCAUGCGCUAGGGUUAAAGGUGUGCACCAUCUUGUCCUCAAGCUUUUCUUGGUUCAUUUAGAGGUUGACCCUUCCUUGUUCCAGUUGUUUUUUUCUAAUUCAAUUUUUUUGAGACAGGUUGUCACUGUAGCCCAGUCCGGCCUGGAAUCUAGUAUGUGUGAAUUUAGUGGUCUGUACCCUCCUGUCCCAGCCUCCCAGGCAGUGGGAUGUUCAUAGGCAUCCCUUAUCAUCUGUGAGCUUGAAGGAUGCACAUCCCAGGUUAACACUGCUAGUAGUCAAUAUCUGUAGAAUAGCAACCAGCCUGUAGUGAAUUAACUUACCUUUUGCCGGAUGUGUUGAUAAAAAAAAUUGGUUAAAGUCAGGCCUCCAGUAGUAUCUUAGUUUCACAUUCCUCUAUUUAAAGUUCAAAGGUUAAAGUUUAAUAGAACAGAUGGCAGAAUACUUUGCUCUCUGCCACCCUAUGCUUGCAAUCAUGAAAACAAUAUACUCAUUUCAUGUCGUCCUACAAUGGAAAACUCUCUCUGCACCUCCAGAAUCCUGGGAUUAAUGACAUUACUGCCGCAGCUUGCAAAGUUGUCGAGAGAGGAAAUUGAGUAAAGCUUCAGUAUUAGGAGGCCAGAGGACUAAUGCGGGCAAUUCUGAAAGAGAGAAGUCUGAAGUUAGAAACAACUCGAGUUUCAGUAUGUGUCUUCUCUCAGAAGGCCUGAGAAGGGUUGGAGACUGAGUUCAGUAUAAAGUCUGUGAGGUACUGGGUUUGCUUCUCCAGCAUCUUAAAGAGAAACAAAAAUCUAGGAGGAAAAGAUUUUGUAAAAUUACAAAUUCAGCUAUAAUAUAGAAUUUCAAACCAUCAUUAGUGUAAACCUUUGACAAGAUAUCUG
rnacentral:lncRNA from 1 species